rnacentral:RNase_P_RNA from 1 species
UGAGGGGGAUGGACGGCCGCUGGGUGCAUUAUGCGCCGAGAGGAAAGUCCGAGCUCCACUCGGAAGGAUGCCCGUUAACGGCGGGGCGGGGUGACCCGACGGAAAGUGCCACAGAAACAAACCGCUGCAUAGCAGUAAGGGUGAAAAGGUGAGGUAAGAGCUCACCGCAUGGUUGGUAACAAUCAUGGUCCAGGCAAACCCCAUCCGGAGCAAGGCCUAAUAGGGGUCAUAAGGGUUCCGAACCUGACCCGGGUUGGCCGCUCGACCUUAUUGGUAACGGUAAGGCUAGAUAGAUGGUCGUCAAUUAUCCCAAGAGGAUGAUUACAGAACUCGGCUUACAGUUCCCCUCAACCG